rnacentral:lncRNA from 1 species
AGAAUGAUUGUAAUUUUUGAUCAUUUAGUGAUGAAAUAAAGACAAUUUGGCCAAAAAAAUAAUCAAUAUCAGGAGCACAUUCAAAACAAAAAUAAAAUUAUCUUAAGUUUUUAAAAUACAAAUUAUUGCAAUUAAUGAAAUGAACUCUUUUUUCACUUGACUUUAUGCAUAUGUCCAUCCCAUCCUCUCAUAUGUGCCAAUAACACCACAGUGCUCAGCACUAGUAACUGUGAAUGGAAACUCUUCCAAACCCUUCCAGUCUACCAUUGAUGCAUAUUUGACUUGGAGGGUUU